UCUUCAUUUCUUCGGAUAUUGAUGAUGACGGUGAUUUUUCCGAUCCGUUUGAUAUUGCUAGAACAAAGCACGCUUCUAUUAAUCGACUGAAACGCUGGAGACAAGCAGCGCUUGUACUAAAUGCUUCCCGUCGAUUUCGUUAUACCUUGGAUUUGAAGAAAGAA